GUACGGCGAGUGAAGCGGCAAGAGCUCAAAUUUGAAAGMUGGCCCCUUCGGGGUCCGCGUUGUAAUUUGCAGAGGAUGCUUCGGGUGCAGCCCCCGUCUAAGUGCCCUGGAACGGGCCGUCAUAGAGGGUGAGAAUCCCGUCUGGGACGGGGUGUCUGCGUCCGUGUGAAGCUCCUUCGACGAGUCGAGUUGUUUGGGAAUGCAGCUCUAAAUGGGUGGUAAAUUUCAUCUAAAGCUAAAUACUGGCCGGAGACCGAUAGCGCACAAGUAGAGUGAUCGAAAGAUGAAAAGCACUUUGAAAAGAGAGUUAAACAGCACGUGAAAUUGUUGAAAGGGAAGCGUUUGCGACCAGACUCGCCCGCGGGGUUCAGCCGGCAUUCGUGCCGGUGUACUUCCCCGUGGGCGGGCCAGCGUCGGUUUGGGCGGCCGGUCAAAGGCCCUCGGAAUGUAUCACCUCUCGGGGUGUCUUAUAGCCGAGGGUGCAAUGCGGCCUGCCUGGACCGAGGAACGCGCUUCGGCUCGGACGCUGGCGUAAUGGUCGUAAAUGACCCGUCUUGAAA
rnacentral:rRNA from 1 species